rnacentral:rRNA from 1 species
GAUGAACGCUAGCGGCAGGCUUAAUACAUGCAAGUCGAGGGGCAGCGGGGUGUAGCAAUACACCGCCGGCGACCGGCAAACGGGUGCGGAACACGUACGCAAUCUACCCAUAACUGGGGCAUAGCCCUCCGAAAGGAGGAUUAAUACCUCGUAACCUUUGGCGGUGGCAUCACCGCUUUAGUAUAGCUCCGGCGGUUAUGGAUGAGCGUGCGGCUGAUUAGGUAGUUGGCGGGGUAACGGCCCACCAAGCCUGCGAUCAGUAACUGGUGUGAGAGCACGACCAGUCACACGGGCACUGAGACACGGGCCCGACUCCUACGGGAGGCAGCAGUAAGGAAUAUUGGUCAAUGGAGGCAACUCUGAACCAGCCAUGCCGCGUGAAGGAUGAAGGUCCUCUGGAUUGUAAACUGCUUUUAUAGGGGACGAAACCCAGGUUUUCCAACCUGAUUGACGGUACCCUAGGAAUAAGCACCGGCUAACUCCGUGCCAGCAGCCGCCGCGGUAA